AAAACCCCUGCCCUACCUGGCUAGGUGUGCUCUUGUGAUUGUGACUGACACAGGCAGCACCCUUUUGCAGAAGUAGAUGUGCGUUGCUGAGAAAUUUUCUGCCUAAGUUCUGGUUUUCUUUGCAGCACCCAGCAUUUGUUUCUAACACAGGGAAAGAGUGAGCUGUAAAAACCUCUCAAAUUCAAGAAAGCGUAAAGCAAAUUGAACAAUACGGGUGAGUUAUGGGCACCUGGAGAAUGACGAAUUGAAAGAGAGACAUGUGCUAUGAUUUCAGAGCCUCAAAAAG
rnacentral:lncRNA from 1 species